rnacentral:rRNA from 1 species
UACGUAGGGCGCAAGCGUUAUCCGGAAUUAUUGGGCGUAAAGAGCUCGUAGGCGGUUUGUCGCGUCUGCCGUGAAAGUCCGGGGCUCAACUCCUGGAAUGCCGGUGGAUACUGUCGGGCUAGAGUCCGGAAGGGGCGAGUGGAAUUCCUGGUGUAGCGGUGAAAUGCGCAGAUAUCAGGAGGAACACCAAUGGCGAAGGCAGCUCGCUGGGACGUGACUGACGCUGAUGCACGAAAGCUGGGGGAGCAAACAGG